AGAGCGAACGCUGGCGGCAGGCUUAACACAUGCAAGUCGAGCGGGCGUAGCAAUACGUCAGCGGCAGACGGGUGAGUAACGCGUGGGAACGUACCUUUUGGUUCGGAACAACACAGGGAAACUUGUGCUAAUACCGGAUAAGCCCUUACGGGGAAAGAUUUAUCGCCAAAAGAUCGGCCCGCGUCUGAUUAGCUAGUUGGUGAGGUAACGGCUCACCAAGGCGACGAUCAGUAGCUGGUCUGAGAGGAUGAUCAGCCACAUUGGGACUGAGACACGGCCCAAACUCCUACGGGAGGCAGCAGUGGGAAUAUUGGACAAUGGGCGCAAGCCUGAUCCAGCCAUGCCGCGUGAGUGAUGAAGGCCCUAGGGUUGUAAAGCUCUUUUGUGCGGGAAGAUAAUGACGGUACCGCAAGAAUAAGCCCGGCUAACUUCGUGCCAGCAGCCGC
rnacentral:rRNA from 1 species